rnacentral:rRNA from 1 species
AUUGAACGCUGGCGGCAGGCCUAACACAUGCAAGUCGAGCGGAUGAAGGGAGCUUGCUCCUGGAUUCAGCGGCGGACGGGUGAGUAAUGCCUAGGAAUCUGCCUGGUAGUGGGGGAUAACGUCCGGAAACGGGCGCUAAUACCGCAUACGUCCUGAGGGAGAAAGUGGGGGAUCUUCGGACCUCACGCUAUCAGAUGAGCCUAGGUCGGAUUAGCUAGUUGGUGGGGUAAAGGCCUACCAAGGCGACGAUCCGUAACUGGUCUGAGAGGAUGAUCAGUCACACUGGAACUGAGACACGGUCCAGACUCCUACGGGAGGCAGCAGUGGGGAAUAUUGGACAAUGGGGGAAAGCCUGAUCCAGCCAAGCCGCGUGUGGGAAGAAGGGCUUCGGAUUGUAAAGCACUUUAAGUUGGGAGGAAGGGCAGUAAGUUAAUACCUUGCUGUUUUGACGUUACCAACAGAAUAAGCACCGGCUAACUUCGUG